UACGAAGGGAGCUAGCGUUGUUCGGAAUCACUGGGCGUAAAGCGCACGUAGGCGGAUGUGUCAGUCAGGGGUGAAAUCCCGGAGCUCAACUUCGGAACUGCCUUUGAUACAGCACGUCUUGAGUCCGGAAGAGGUGGGUGGAAUUCCUAGUGUAGAGGUGAAAUUCGUAGAUAUUAGGAAGAACACCGGUGGCGAAGGCGGCCCAGCUGGUCCGGGUACUGACGCUGGAGGUGCGAAAGCGUGGGGAGCAAACAGG
rnacentral:rRNA from 1 species